GGAUGUGAGAGCAAUCUGGCUGUGACAUCGGUCACCCCAUUGAUCCCCAGGAUUGAUUCAGCUGAUCUGGCUGGCCAGGUGGGUGUCACCUUCCUCCCUCAAUGCUCCACGUGUGUCCCUCCUGAAGCUGUACUCUUGGUCAAGGAGGACAACCACCCCUGAUAGAGGAAGACCAUUCCUUAUUCAAGGGUAUAUGAGUAGCUGUGUUCCCAUGCUCGAACUUCCAAACAAGCUCUCAAGGUUUAGAGAUACUUAAAAUAUUUAAUUCUACAUUAAUUAGUUUUCCCAUUGCUUGGAGGAAAUACCUG
rnacentral:snRNA from 1 species